UUACAGUCAUGUCAUUAAAAGGUGCUUAAAGCUACACUGUGCAAGAAGUUCUCCCAUCUAGCGGAGAAAUUGUAUUUGACAACCAACUG